GAAAUGCGAUAAGUAAUGUGAAUUGCAGAAUUCCGUGAAUCAUCGAAUCUUUGAACGCACAUUGCGCCCUCUGGCAUUCCGGGGGGCAUGCCUGUCCGAGCGUCAUUACGCACCCUCAAGCCCGGCUUGUGUGAUGGGCCCUGGCGUCUCGUUCGCGAGACGGGCCCGAAAGGCAGCGGCGGCGUCGACCCGAUGAGCCCGAGCGUAUGGGGACUUUUGUCACACGCUUGCGGUAUGCCUUCGACACCCGUCUGACCUCUUAAAUGGUCAACCCCCUCUUCUAAGGUUGACCUCGGAUCAGGUAGGGAUACCCGCUGAACUUAAGC
rnacentral:misc_RNA from 1 species